CAAGAAAUAGUUUAAUUAGAAUAUCAGUUUUGGGUACUGAUGGUGUGGUUGUUUACUUCUUUCUUGA
rnacentral:tRNA from 1 species